ACAGCCACGCUGGCCUGAAGUGGUGCGCUGUGAGAAGCCGCGCACACACUCACACAGGUCCGUUCCUGACUCGCACCGAGCGGGUACUGCUAGCUGGUAGCCAGAUGCACGAGAAGUCAUGUUAGCGUUUUUUAUCAACCCGCGUGGUAUACACAGGUUCAGAAGGUUACUGGUCAUCAAUGGAAACUGACACAUCAGCUUGAUACACACCACGGCAGACCCAGGAUGAGCUCUGGUCAAAAACAAUGAGAGGAACAUACACCGCUAGCAGAGGUGAAGCCAAGGUCAGCUGAACUCAACAGACACUGGGUCAGGCAGCGGCAGCGUAUGGAAGGAGCAAGUAACAGUCUUGUUGUGUUGGCUUGCCUCCACCAGACGCCCACGUCUUUGGGUCACAUAGAAGGUCACCGAGCGGGUUUGGACACCUAUCCUCCGCUGAUAGUGAUUCCUGCGAUUUUCGUUGUUGUUGCUGAUGAUUGUGGUGGUGGUGGUGACGACGACACUCGGUGGUGAUGGUGAUAGUAGUGGUGGGAGGAGUGGUAUCAGUAGCAAUAGUUAUUUAGGAGAGUGGUGAGCAUCGCGCCAGCGGGCUAAGGGCGGCGAUGAACACGGUGGUUCUGGUGAUAAUGAUGAUAGUGGUGGAUGAUGAUACCAGUUGUGGUGGUGGUGACAGUGGUAAUAGACAUAUGCUAUUCACACACACACACACACACACACACACACACACACACACACACACAACCCCGUUUACGAAACAUGAUCAGCGUGACACCACAACACAGAGACACACAGCACAAAGUUCUGUCUUACGUAACUCCAGUUUGAUAUCAAUAUAUCAUCAAGCUCCUGAAACAAACACACGCGUGCGCCCGAAAAGAUUAAUAUUGUGGCAGAUUUGAAAUAAGGAGAGAGAGAGAGAGAGAGAGAGAGAGAGAGAGAGAGAGAGAGAGAGAGAGAGAGAGAGAGAGAGAGAGACAUUCUAAAUAAGAGUUAAGAAUUUGUAGUGCGGCUACUGGUGACGGGACAACGUUUUCCUUACAAAUAGAUCCACCACUUGAGAGAUUAUCUAAUCAUCACCUUCUUCUUCUUCUUCUUCUUCCUCUCUUCUAACUUUCUUUCAUGUCACUUCACAGACAACCGAGCAAUAAUUAUAAGCAGUAGUAGUAGUAGUGAUAAUCGCCGCUUCUGAUUUUUUAUCUUUUUUUUAGUUGUUUGUGCUGAUUCUACUGUUCCUACUCUUGUUACAGUGCUCGCGAACACGCACACACACAUACACACAGGCAAACACAUACUGCACACAGUAAUUCCCUAUUGCGUCACCGCUUAUCUCAUAUAUCCGUGUCCUUACGUCACCAAGUGGUAAAAAGAGAAAUAAUAAAAAGUAGAAACAGAGUCCAUUAUAGCAGGAGUGUACACUUCAUGUCCCGCACUCUGCCUGCCCACCCAUCCCACUGACACUCCGGCAGGUGGCGACUGCUACACCAAACCCACCCGUCCUCAGCCCCUCAACCCUCAGCCCCUCGACACCACCAGGCCUGCCGCAGAGAGAGAGAGAGAGAGAGAGAGAGAGAGAGAGAGAGAGAGAGAGAGAGAGGGUGAAUGAAACGGGUAAUAAAAAAUCUGUUUAAUAAUAGACGACAGACAGAGUGAAGGAGAGACACGGUAAGGAUCACAGUCUUCUGGCUCGCCUCCAAGUUCCCCACGACCCUUCCUUCCUCCAUACCCCACCCAGCCCCACCUCCACCAUCACCACCAUCACCACCACUACCACCACCACCACCAUUACCUCCAUCGACAGGGUUACGACACCGAUUAAGGUCGCAGUUUAUCUUUUCAUGUUUAAUCUCAUUCUGAUUGCAUGAUAUUUGAUUGAAAGAAAAGAAAAAGUUCAUUCCACUCGGCAUACAGGUUUUAGGAAAUCGAAAGUAUAGGAUUAAUUUUGUACACAAGUAGCAGAAAUAUUUACAGAAUUUCCACUAACGUAACUUUCCUUCCUCCUCCAUCUCACUACUUCUACUACUACUACUACUACCAUAUCUGCUUCUCUAACUGUAACACUGCUACAAAUUUCACACCUAAGAGGCAGAAAUCUUUCCAGAACUUCCACUAACAACUUUCCCUCCUCCUCCGCCUCCUCCUCACUACUACUACUACUACUACUACUACUACUACUACUACUACUACUACGACUACUGCUACUACUACUGCUACUACCUUCACUGCUGUGACCAUAACACAACCAUAUACUUCCGAGCGCUGACUGCCGUGCACGGAAUGGAGUUAUCACAUCAGGAUCGCCACACAGAGAACCCAAGUGUCCUCGCACGCGCCAGUCACGUGGUCGACAGGGUGGUGACGCUGGCCUUGGUAUUCUAACUCACCUGAGAAGACGAGACCCGAGGAAAGCAGGACUGUCCACAUCAGCCUCAUUCAUGCAGAUGCAACUCCUUGUAUUUCAUAACAAUAGUAUUAUA